AAUGAACGCUGGCGGCGUGCUUAACACAUGCAAGUUGAACGAGAAAGGCUGAUUUCGGUUAGCCGAGUAAAGUGGCGCACGGGUGAGUAACGCGUAGGCAACCUACCCUUGUAUUGGGGAUAACCCUGCGAAAGUGGGGCUAAUACCGGAUAAGACCCGAUUCUGGAGGGAAUUGGGUGAAAGUCGGCCGCUCGGAGAAGCUGACGUACGAGGAUGGGCCUGCGUCCUAUCAGCUAGUUGGUGGGGUAGCGGCCUACCAAGGCGACGACGGGUAGCUGGUCUGAGAGGAUGAUCAGCCACACUGGCACUGGAACACGGGCCAGACUCCUACGGGAGGCUG
rnacentral:rRNA from 1 species